rnacentral:rRNA from 1 species
AUUAUGGCUCAGGAUGAACGCUAGCGGCAGGCUUAACACAUGCAAGUCGAGGGGCAUCGGGAGUAGCAAUACUGCCGGCGACCGGCGCAAGGGUGCGUAACGCGUGAGCAACAUGCCCGUAUCAGGGGGGAUAAUCCAUGGAAACGUGGUCUAAUACCCCAUAGUAAUUAUGUAAGGCAUCUUAUAUAAUUUAAAGCUUUGGUGGAUACGGAUUGGCUCGCGUGACAUUAGCUGGAUGGUAAGGUAACGGCUUACCAUGGCUACGAUGUCUAGGGGUUCUGAGAGGAAGGUCCCCCCACACUGGAACUGAGACACGGUCCAGACUCCUACGGGAGGCAGCAGUGAGGAAUAUUGGACAAUGGAUGGAAAUCUGAUCCAGCCAUGCCGCGUGCAAGGAAGACCGGCCCUAUGGGUUGUAAACUGCUUUUGUAUGGGAGCAAUAAGGGCUACGUGUAGUCCGAUGAGAGUACCAUACGAAUAAGCACCGGCUAACUCCGUGCCAGCAGCCGC